UCAAUACUCAUGUGUGACACCUUUUGCUUUUUAAUUCUUUUAGUAUUUUGUUAUUCUUAUUAUAAAAUACUCAUAAUAUUAGGUGGGGAGGGUUCAAUACUCAUGUGGGGAGGGUUCAAUACUCAUGUGUGACACCUUUUGCUUUUUAAUUUUUUUAUUCUUUUAGUAUUUUGUUAAUAUCUCUUUUUAUGCUUAUUAUAAUUUCAUGUGUUAAUAAUGCGUAGUUAUUGUAUUUGAAUUUAGUUCAAAAAAACAUUUUUUAAAACUAUAAAAAUCAUACUUUCUCGAUUUAAUAUCGAGCCCAUUUUUUACACCCUUGUAAGUCGAUUGCUUUUUA
rnacentral:lncRNA from 1 species